rnacentral:rRNA from 1 species
AGUGAACGCUGGCGGUAUGCCUAACACAUGCAAGUCGAACGGCAGCACAGUAAGAGCUUGCUCUUACGGGUGGCGAGUGGCGUACGGGUGAGGAAUGCAUCGUGAUCUACUUUUUCGGGUGGGUUCACGUAGGUGAAGCUACUCUAAUAUCGCAUACGCCCUACGGUGGAAAGCGGUGGAUAUUCUCACCUUGCGCGGUUGAAUGAGCCGAUGUUGGGUUAGCUAGUUGGCGGGUUAAAGGUCCACCAAGGCGACGAUCCGUAGCUGGUCUGGGAGGAUGGUAGCCCACCCUGGAACGGAGCCACGGUCAAGGCUCCUGCGAGAGGCAGCAGUGGGGAACAUUGGACAACGGGGGGAAGCAUGAUCCAGCCAUCGCGAGUGGGUGAAGAAGGCCUUCGGGUUGUAAAGCCCUCUUGUUGGGAAAGAAACGCAGCCGCUUAAUACGAAGCUGUUCUGACGGUACUCAAAGAAUAAGCACCGGCUAACUUCGUG